rnacentral:rRNA from 1 species
UCCCGUUGAUCCUGCGGGAGGAUACUGCUAGUUGGGUUCGAUUUAGACAUGCAAGUUUUAAGCUCUUCGGAGCUUGGCGAAAGGCUCAGUAACACGUCAAUAAUCUACCCUUAGGCGGGGGAUAAUCUCGGGAAACUGAGAAUAAUACCCCAUAGGCUAUGGCUACUGGAAUGUGCCAUAACCAAAAGCUUCGGCACCUAAGGAUGAGUUGGCGGCAGAUUAGGCUGUUGGUGGUGUAAUGGACCACCAAACCAAAGAUCUGUAAGGGGGAUGAGAGUCUUAGCCCUGAGAGGGACACUGAGAAAAGGGUCCCAGCCCUACGGGGUGCAGCAGUCGCGAAACCUUUACAAUGCACGAAAGUGUGAUAAGGGAACCCAACGUGCUCGCAUUUUUUGUGAGCUUUUGCCAAGUGUAAAUAACUUGGAGAAUAAGUGGUGGGCAAGACCGGUGCCAGCCGCCGCGGUAAUCCCGGCGCCACAAGUGGUAUCCGCUAUUAUUGGGCCUAUAGCAUCCGUAGCCGGUUAUCUAAGUUUUCUGUGAAAUCUGAGUGCUUAACAUUCAGGCGUGCCGAAAAUACUGGAUAACUAGAGACCGGGAAGAGUUAGGAGUAUUCUAGAGGGAGCGGUAAAAUGUUGUAAUCUCUAGAGGACUAUCAGUGGCGAAGGCGCCUAACUGGAACGGGUCUGACGGUGAGGGAUGAAAGCUGGGGGAGCGAGCCGGAUUAGAUACCCGGGUAGUCCCAGCCGUAAACGCUGCCUGCUUGGUGUUGCAUAUUCUUCGGGAGUAUGCAGUGCCGUAGUGAAGACGUUGAGCAGGCCGCCUGGGAAGUAUGGUCGCAAGGCUGAAACUUAAAGGAAUUGGCGGGGGAGCACACAAGAGGUGGAUGUUGCGGUUUAAUUGGAUUAUACGCCGGGAACCUCACCAGCAGCGACAGCAGGAUGAAUGUCCGUCUGAAUGGCGUACUCGACACGCUGAGAGGUGGUGCAUGGCCGCCGUCAGCUCGUGCCAUGAGGUGUUCUGUUAAGUCAGAUAACGAGCGAGACCUACGCAUCCAGUUGCUAUCGUUUUUUUCGGAAAGCGAGCACACUGGAAGGACUGCUCUCGAAAGGGAGAGGAAGGUGUAGGCUACGGUGGUCAGUAUGCCCCGAAUCUGCUGGGCUACACGCGACAUACACUGGCUAAAUCAACGGGUUGCGACUCCGAGAGGAGAAGCUAAUCUCUUAACUUUAGUCUGGUUCGGAUUGAGCCUUGCAACUCAGGCUCAUGAAGUCGAAAUCUCUAGUAAUCGUACGUUAGCAUCGUACGGUGAAUACGUCCCUGCUCCUUGCACACACUGCCUGUCACACCAUCCGAGUUGGGUCUGGAUGAGGGAUGAUUUUUUGGUCGUUUCGAAUCUAGGUUCAGCGAGGCGGGUGAAGUCAACACAAGGUA